rnacentral:rRNA from 1 species
AAGGGAUGCCUCAGGUUAACGGCGAGUGAAGCGGCAAAAGCUCAAAUUUGAAAUCUAGCACUUUCAGUGUUCGAGUUGUAAUUUGAAGAAGGUAACUUUGGUUUUGGCUCUUGUCUAUGUUCCUUGGAACAGGACGUCACAGAGGGUGAGAAUCCCGUGCGAUGAGAUGCCCAAUUCCAUGUAAAGUGCUUUCGAAGAGUCGAGUUGUUUGGGAAUGCAGCUCUAAGUGGGUGGUAAAUUCCAUCUAAAGCUAAAUAUUGGCGAGAGACCGAUAGCGAACAAGUACAGUGAUGGAAAGAUGAAAAGAACUUUGAAAAGAGAGUGAAAAAGUACGUGAAAUUGUUGAAAGGGAAGGGCUUGAGAUCAGACUUGGUAUUUUGCGUUCCCUUCCUUUUUGGUUGGGUUCCUCGCAGUUUACUGGGCCAGCAUCGGUUUGGAUGGUAGGAUAAUGACAUUGGAAUGUAGCUUUACUUCGGUGAAGUGUUAUAGACUUUGUUGAUACUGCCUAUCUAGACCGAGGACUGCGUCUUUGACUAGGAUGCUGGCGUAAUGAUCUUAAGCCGCCCGUCUUGAGA